CAUCUAUUGCUUCCACGUAUCUCUUAUCUUUUAGAUAGUUGAAAGCAAGUUUAAAUCCUACAGCAAGAGAGGAAAAGAUCAUUUUGCAUAUGAAAUCUAUGAAGUGAGAGAACACCAGUGUCUUGGCCUUCUAACAGUGAGGAGCCUACCAGACUAAGGGUAGCAACAGAUUAUACAUCCCGUCUGAAUAAACUGAAGAUUUAGGUGCAUUACGUAAAUGGGCAUAAA